rnacentral:rRNA from 1 species
GAUGAACGCUGGCGGCGUGCUUAACACAUGCAAGUCGAACGUGAGAAUAGCAAUAUUUGAAAGUGGCAAACGGGUGAGUAACACGUGGGAACCUGCCUCGAAGUGGGGGAUAACGAUUGGAAACGGUCGCUAAUACCGCACGGUUCUGCUCUGAUGGGAAUGGAGCAGAUAAAGAUUUAUCGCUUUGAGAGGGGCCCGCGGCCGAUUAGCUAGUUGGUAAGGUAAAGGCUUACCAAGGCGAUUAUCGGUAGCUGGUCUGAGAGGACGAUCAGCCACACGGGAACUGAGACACGGUCCCGACUCCUACGGGGGGCAGCAGUGAGGAAUAUUGGGCAAUGGGCGAAAGCCUGACCCAGCAACGCCGCGUGGAGGAUGAAGGCUUUAGGGUUGUAAACUCCUUUUGUGGGGAAAGAAUGGAUGGUACCCCAAGAAUAAGUCACGGCUAACUACGUG